ensembl:misc_RNA Metazoa_SRP Metazoan signal recognition particle RNA
GCCGGGUGUGGUGGCUCACGCCUGUAAUCCCAGCAUUUUGGGAGGCCAAGGUGGGCGGAUCACUUGAGGUCAGGAGAUCAAGACUAGCCUGGCCAACAUGGUGAAACCCCAUCUUUA